GCAACUCGCCUACAUGAAGUUGGAAUCGCUAGUAAUCGCGAAUCAGAAUGUCGCGGUGAAUACGUUCCCGGGUCUUGUACACACCGCCCGUCACACCACGAGAGUUUACAACACCCGAAGUCAGUGGCCUAACCGCAAGGAGGGAGCUGCCUAAGGUGGGGUAGAUGAUUGGGGUGAAGUCGUAACAAGGUAAC
rnacentral:rRNA from 1 species